GCCAUGUGAAGAUGCUCAAGUACUGAAGAUCCUAAGCCUGCCAACAAACAGAUGUGACGAACCAUUCCUCAGGAAAAAAAAAGUUAUCUAUGUGAGAUGCAAAUGAUCAGCCAAAUGAUGGUGACUGAAGUCAUGAAGAGCUCUGAUGAUGUUACUGGGUAAACAGCCUUGGCCUGAGGUUGAAGCAAGGAAACUCUGGAGUUCAACAAAGACACCAGGCCUGAUGAGGAAACGUUAUACUGAUGCUGGCAGUCUGAAAGUAGAAUACAAACAUGUGGCGUUACACACCUCCAGGAAGCUCC
rnacentral:lncRNA from 10 species